UCUCUCUACAUUCUCUCCAAAAACUCUCCUUCAAUCCCUGUUCUUGCAUCCAUUGGAGUUGGAAUUUCAAGAGUUUUCGAGGAAUCACAUCAAUCCUUGUUUCUACCGUUUGGUUUUAAUUUAAGAAGGGGAUUGUGUGUACGUGAGCACAAGGAACGAAGGUUGCUUUGAGUUGGGUAUUGUGUUGUUUAAGCAAACGAGGUUGAGCGGGAUGUUGAGUCGGCCUUGGAAAUUUUUGGAUGCGUUGUCUCUUCAUACAUAGGCGUCAUCCUUGACUCUCUUUGAAACCUUAUUUCCGCUGCUAUACUUUUUUAUCUAUGCCCCAAGAGUUCUUUACUUCGUACUAUUUUUGGCAUGUCAACUCCUUUUAGACGUUAGUCCGCUGUUUACUUCGUUACUCUAAAAUGGAUUUUCGUAAAGUAAAACAAUUGUUCUUUUGGAGGUUAAUUGGAAUUUGAUAUUUAUUUUUCCCCGCUGCUUCCUUUGAAAAAUCGUUUGCUAUAAGUCUUUGCACUAAUUGAUAAUGAAUUUAUGACAUUAAGUUUCUUUAAGCUAAAAACUCGUGUUUAACUUUUAAUGAACUAAAAUAUUAUUCUUUUAAACUAUUUGAGCCUUUCUUAUGAACUGUAGUCCUUAAAUGUUGUCUUUAUUGCUAUCCCGUGGUCACGAUCUCCUCGUUUAUAGUACCCCUAGUAUGGGCGGUCGUGACAGCUAUCUAACACAAUUAAACACUACUAAUAAUAUGGAUUUCACAUUCCAUUAACACUACUUCUCUCUUAUAUUUUUCCCUUCUCUCUUACUUCAACAAUUCCACAUUAAAACCCAUGCCAUUCACAAUGUGUUCUGUUUUUCGUGGACGAGGGGGUAUGUUUAUUGAAUAUUCAUCUCUUCCUAUAACUAAAAACUGAUAAGCUUGGUAUUUUAUUUUAUUUUUUUCAAUUUUCAUAUUCUAUUACUCUUUCUUUACUACUUAUAAUCAAUUAAGUUUUAUCUUACAAUUUUAGAUAUAAAUAUUUUAUAACUGAAUAUAAUUAGUGUUAUAGACUUUAAUAUAAUUAAGUUCUCGAAUUAAUUGAAAAUCAACUACAUAAAUACACCGAAAUAAAUACUCAAAAUUUACCUACUUCACGCCUCCUGCUUCAGCUAUCCCACCAACCUCGGGCAGCCGCCGCCGCCAACACCGGCAGUUCUCUCGGUCUGCCCCCGCCUGCCGCCCACUGCUUCUCUUUUUCUCCUUCAUCUCCUUUUCUUCUUCUCGCCAUUAUCUCAGAUCUCUCUCAGUAUCACGUCCCACUGCAUUCGGCGUCUGGACUUGCCGCCGUCACCCUCUGUUCCUUCAUGUCGGCGUCGCCCUUGUUCCCGGUAAGAUAUCUUUCUCUUAAUUUUGUUUUUGUUUUUUCAAAUUUGUAAAAAUAAACCCAAUGUUUUGGAGUUCAAAUUUUCAGAAACCGGUAAAUCGAAAGUUUCUACCUUUGUUCGUCGCCUGAGUGGCCGCCGGAUUCCGGCCAGAAUCGCCUCCAUGGAUGAAAUUUGUUGUAUGAAGUGUUAAAAGUGUAAAAAGAUCAAAUUGCCCAAUCCCCCCAAAAGGGUAUUUUCAAUCGAAAACAGUGAAAAAUAACCAUUUUCGAGAUAAACCCUUAGUCCAGGGAUGUCUGACAAUAUUUUUAAA